rnacentral:lncRNA from 1 species
UCCCUUCGUGAGCGCCGCGGCCGCCGGACUCUCGUUGUACCCCUGUACAUAGCCCCGCUCCACGGGCGCCCCGGAGCGACCCCCGUCUGUGCUUCCCCCGCCCCGGCCCCGGCCCCGCCGCGCUCGCGUAGGAUUCCCCGCCCCGUCCCGGUUUAACGCGCCGACACUUCGCUGGAGUCCCGGGCUCUUUUCCAUGAUGUUACUUUUGUCAUUUGUUCCUCCUGGGGGGCUGGUGGUCGGGCAGGUGAGUCCCCGUGGGGCAGGUGAGCCCUGUGGGCCAGGUGAGCCCUCUGCCUCCUCGGGGCAGGUGAGCCCUGUGUCACCAUGGCACAGGUGAGUCCCUGUGUCCCCGUGGGGCAGGUGAGUCCCUGUGGGGCAGGUGAGCCCCAUGUCCCCGUGGGGCUCUGGGGCAGCACAGAGCAGCUCUCACACGGGCAGUGCUGGCGGUUACAUCCCAACUCUGUAAGGUGGGAGAAGGGAGCGCAUUAAAGGUUGUCCCUCGGUGUGAGCUGCCCUCUGUGUGUGUGCCACCCUGGUGCUGGCCGGGCACGGGGGGCCCUGGCUGCUGCCCUGGUGCCCCCGAAGCUGGGAAGAUGGAAGCAUCCCCUCGCCUCUCCUCGCUGCAUCCGGCUCCUGUUGAUAUGCUGUAGAUCCGUGCCCUUGUGCCCACUCUGAGUACCAUGACGUAGAGUUAGAGAUGACGAGUGUUUUUAUUACAUCUACUGUAAUCCUGGCUAACCACCUGCUAGCAGGAUAUAGUAAUGUAGUGCUUAUUCUGUGAAUAGUACCUGGGUUUUUUACAUUGUACAGUCCCUGACACGGUUCCCCGGCAGUGGCAGGCAUGCUCCACUCACACAACACUUGCUGUAAGCAAUACCUCGUGGUAUGGGAAUUCUCUUUCAAGCCCUAAAACUAUUUCAACUUACAGCUUGUUUGGGAAAAAAAAAAGAUAUUUCCAUUUUUUUUGUAAAAAUAUAUGUUUCCUGAUUACCUCUUGCUAAUAAAUCUAUUCUAUCUCAGGGUGAACCGGGGUUUGUGAUAGUUU